rnacentral:rRNA from 1 species
GAUGAACGCUGGCGGCGUGCUUAACACAUGCAAGUCGAACGAUGAACUUGGAGCUUGCUCUGGGGGAUUAGUGGCGAACGGGUGAGUAACACGUGAGUAACCUGCCCUGGACUCUGGGAUAACUUCGAGAAAUCGGAGCUAAUACCGGAUAGGACCUUGCACCGCAUGGUGUGGGGUGGAAAGUUUUUCGGGUUGGGAUGGACUCGCGGCCUAUCAGCUUGUUGGUGAGGGAAUGGAUCACCAAGGCGUCGACGGGUAGCCGGCCUGAGAGGGUGACCAGCCACACCGGGACUGCGACAGGGGCCAGACUCCUACGGGAGGCAGCAGUGGGGAAUAUUGCACAAUGGGCGCAAGCCUGAUGCAGCAACGCCGCGGGCGGGAUGACGGCCUUCGGGUUGUAAACCGCUUUUAGUAGGGAAGAAGCCUUCGGGUGACGGUACCUGCAGAAAAAGGACCGGCUAACUACGUGCCAGCCGCCGCUGUAACAC